AUUGAACGCUGGCGGCAGGCCUAACACAUGCAAGUCGAACGAAGUGGCGGACGGGUGAGUACCACGUGGGAACGUGCCUUUUGGUUCGGAAUAACUCAGGGAAACUUGUGCUAAUACCGAAUCCCAUUAGAGCGGCCCGCGUCUGAUUAGCUCGUUGGUGAGGUAACGGCUCACCAAGGCGACGAUCAGUAGCUGGUCUGAGAGGAUGACCGGCCACACUGGGACUGAGACACGGCCCAGACUCCUACGCGAGGCAGGAGUGGGGAAUCUUGCGCAAUGGGCGAAAGCCUGACGCAGCCAGGCCGCGUGAAUGAUGAAGGUCUUAGGAUUGUAAAAUUCUUUCACCGGGGACGCGGUACCCGGAGAAGAAGCCCCGGCUAACUUCGUGCCAGCAGCCGCGGUAAUAC
rnacentral:rRNA from 1 species